AACUGUUAAUGAUGAUUUAUUAAACAUUGGGAAUCUCUCUGAUAAAGGGUGAAAGAGAACUGUUUUCUGAUGCAGUA